UUUAUUUAUCUAUCUAAAAUGUUAAUAAACUAAAACACGGAAAGAAGUAUGUUCAAUAGGAAAGGCAAAUUCAUACGUGCUGCUCACACGCCAAAAGACUGAUUUAUUGAAAUUCAGGAAACUAGACCCAAGCCCAGAGAGGUUUUAAGUUAUUGCACAGAACAAAAUGUAUAAGAUCUACAAAGCCUUUGUUAACUUCAGACCUUAUAUCCCAAAACCCCAUUAUUUCCCCCUUCAUUUCUCCCAUAGCAAUGGUCAACAAACCAGAGGUAGAAAAUGCUGACUCAUUUCCAUCUCUUAGUACUACAAGCUGGUGAGCUCUAUAGGAUAGAAUAUAAUCUGUAAAGAGCUGAUGGUCUCAUCAUGGACUGUAGGGGGACCUCUAACUUUAAUAAUGUGAAUGUCUCUACAGUCUGAACCACUAAUUAGCAUGAUUAUUCAGAUCAUCAGUCCCUCCCACUUCACUGACAUGUUGAAUAUGGUGGAACCUGCCGUGGUCUACUGAUUGUCAUCUAUUCAUCUAUGUGACACUCCUCUUGUUUUAUAUACAUUGAUACCAGACUCUUUCCAGCACUCUCACAUAUAACGUGAUCAAACAUGUUCACAUUUCUCUUCACUGUUACUGUCUCACUGCUCUGUGCUGCAGGUCUUGUUGAGGGGAGUGAAGUCACUCAGACACCCACCAUACUCUGGGAACUGAAAGACAGUGAUGCUCAGAUGAACUGCAGUCACACUAAGGGAGCUAACUACAACCAGAUGUACUGGUACAGACAGCUUCCAGGAGAAGGAAUGAAGCAGGUAGUUUACACAAGUAGUUACAGCGAUCCAGAAUAUGGAGACUUCAGUAAAGACAAAUAUCCAACUGUUAAGGCUGUAGCUGAGAGUGGAUCUUUCACAGUGAAGAAGUUGGAGACAGGAGACAGUGGAAUGUACUUCUGUGCUGUGAGUCAACACAGUGAUACAGACAACAAGUACAGCUGCACAAAAACCCCAGUAUUUCAACAGGAUGUAACAUAAUAUGUAAAGAGAUGGUCUCACCACAUACUGUAGGGGGACCUCUAACUCUAGUUCUUCUAAUGUCUGAUGGUCUCAUCACAUACUGUAGGGGGACCUCUAACUCUAGUUCUUCUAAUGUCUGAUGGUCUCAUCACAUACUGUAGGGGGACCUCUAACUCUAGUUCUUCUAAUGUCUGAUGGUCUCAUCACAUACUGUAGGGGGACCUCUAACUCUAGUUCUUCUAAUGUCUGAUGGUCUCAUCACAUACUGUAGGGGGACCUCUAACUCUAGUUCUUCUAAUGUCUGAUGGUCUCAUCACAUACUGUAGGGGGACCUCUAACUCUAGNNNNNNNNNNAAUGCAGGUGGUACCAGCACCUUAACCAUCAAACAACUAACUCCAAAUAGCAGUGCUGUGUAUUACUGUGCUGCUAGUUUACACAGUGCAUCAGAUCUCCCUCUCUGCUCUACAAAAACCUCCUCCCUGGUGUACUGUAGACUAAUCACACUGUAUCUGACUCU
rnacentral:lncRNA from 13 species